rnacentral:rRNA from 1 species
GACGGACCCCGCACAAGCAGCGGAGCGUGUGGUUUAAUUCGAGGCUACACGAAGAACCUUUACCAGGGUUUGACAUGCAAGUGGUAGGAAUCCGAAAGGUGACCGACCCUUCGGGGAGCUUGCACAGGUGCUGCAUGGCUGUCGUCAGCUCGUGUCGUGAGAUGUUCGGUUAAGUCCGCUAACGAGCGCAACCCUCGUCGUGUGUUAUACGUGUCACACGAUACUGCCGGUAUCAAGCCGGAGGAGGUGGGGAUGAUGUCAAGUCAGCAUGGCCUUUAUAUCCUGGGCUACACACACGCUACAAUGGCAGAUACAAUAGGUUGCGAAACCGCGAGGUGGAGCCAAUCCUCAAAGUCUGUCUCAGUUCAGAUUGUAGGCUGCAACUCGCCUGCAUGAAGAUGGAGUUGCUAGUAACCGCAGGUCAGCUAUACUGCGGUGAAUACGUUCCCGGGGCUU